rnacentral:rRNA from 1 species
UUAAAUUGAAGAGUUUGAUCAUGGCUCAGAUUGAACGCUGGCGGCAGGCCUAACACAUGCAAGUCGAACGGUAACAGGAAACAGCUUGCUGUUUCGCUGACGAGUGGCGGACGGGUGAGUAAUGUCUGGGAAACUGCCUGAUGGAGGGGGAUAACUACUGGAAACGGUAGCUAAUACCGCAUAACGUCGCAAGACCAAAGAGGGGGACCUUCGGGCCUCUUGCCAUCGGAUGUGCCCAGAUGGGAUUAGCUAGUAGGUGGGGUAACGGCUCACCUAGGCGACGAUCCCUAGCUGGUCUGAGAGGAUGACCAGCCACACUGGAACUGAGACACGGUCCAGACUCCUACGGGAGGCAGCAGUGGGGAAUAUUGCACAAUGGGCGCAAGCCUGAUGCAGCCAUGCCGCGUGUAUGAAGAAGGCCUUCGGGUUGUAAAGUACUUUCAGCGGGGAGGAAGGGAGUAAAGUUAAUACCUUUGCUCAUUGACGUUACCCGCAGAAGAAGCACCGGCUAACUCCGUGCCAGCAGCCGCGGUAAUACGGAGGGUGCAAGCGUUAAUCGGAAUUACUGGGCGUAAAGCGCACGCAGGCGGUUUGUUAAGUCAGAUGUGAAAUCCCCGGGCUCAACCUGGGAACUGCAUCUGAUACUGGCAAGCUUGAGUCUCGUAGAGGGGGGUAGAAUUCCAGGUGUAGCGGUGAAAUGCGUAGAGAUCUGGAGGAAUACCGGUGGCGAAGGCGGCCCCCUGGACGAAGACUGACGCUCAGGUGCGAAAGCGUGGGGAGCAAACAGGAUUAGAUACCCUGGUAGUCCACGCCGUAAACGAUGUCGACUUGGAGGUUGUGCCCUUGAGGCGUGGCUUCCGGAGCUAACGCGUUAAGUCGACCGCCUGGGGAGUACGGCCGCAAGGUUAAAACUCAAAUGAAUUGACGGGGGCCCGCACAAGCGGUGGAGCAUGUGGUUUAAUUCGAUGCAACGCGAAGAACCUUACCUGGUCUUGACAUCCACAGAACUUUCCAGAGAUGGAUUGGUGCCUUCGGGAACUGUGAGACAGGUGCUGCAUGGCUGUCGUCAGCUCGUGUUGUGAAAUGUUGGGUUAAGUCCCGCAACGAGCGCAACCCUUAUCCUUUGUUGCCAGCGGUCCGGCCGGGAACUCAAAGGAGACUGCCAGUGAUAAACUGGAGGAAGGUGGGGAUGACGUCAAGUCAUCAUGGCCCUUACGACCAGGGCUACACACGUGCUACAAUGGCGCAUACAAAGAGAAGCGACCUCGCGAGAGCAAGCGGACCUCAUAAAGUGCGUCGUAGUCCGGAUUGGAGUCUGCAACUCGACUCCAUGAAGUCGGAAUCGCUAGUAAUCGUGGAUCAGAAUGCCACGGUGAAUACGUUCCCGGGCCUUGUACACACCGCCCGUCACACCAUGGGAGUGGGUUGCAAAAGAAGUAGGUAGCUUAACCUUCGGGAGGGCGCUUACCACUUUGUGAUUCAUGACUGGGGUGAAGUCGUAACAAGGUAACCGUAGGGGAACCUGCGGUUGGAUCACCUCCUUACCUUAAAGAA